CGCUAUCACUCCUACGGGGAGGCAGCAGUAGGGAAUCUUCACAAUGGGCGCAAGCCUGAUGGAGCAACACCGCGUGAGUGAAGAAGGGUUUCGGCUCGUAAAGCUCUGUUGUUAAAGAAGAACACGUAUGAGAGUAACUGUUCAUGCGUUGACGGUAUUUAACCAGAAAGUCACGGCUAACUACGUGCCAGCAGCCGCGGUAAUACGUAGGUGGCAAGCGUUAUCCGGAUUUAUUGGGCGUAAAGAGAGUGCAGGCGGUUUUCUAAGUCUGAUGUGAAAGCCUUCGGCUUAACCGGAGAAGUGCAUCGGAAACUGGAUAACUUGAGUGCAGAAGAGGGUAGUGGAACUCCAUGUGUAGCGGUGGAAUGCGUAGAUAUAUGGAAGAACACCAGUGGCGAAGGCGGCUACCUGGUCUGCAACUGACGCUGAGACUCGAAAGCAUGGGUAGCGAACAGGAUUAGAUACCCUGGUAG
rnacentral:rRNA from 1 species